rnacentral:rRNA from 1 species
UCAGUCGACUCCUACGGGGAGGCAGCAGUGGGGAAUAUUGCACAAUGGGGGAAACCCUGAUGCAGCCAUGCCGCGUGUGUGAAGAAGGCCUUCGGGUUGUAAAGCACUUUCAGUAGGGAGGAAGGUAGUGUAGUUAACACCUGCACUAUUUGACGUUACCUACAGAAGAAGCACCGGCUAACUCCGUGCCAGCAGCCGCGGUAAUACGGGAGGGUGCGAGCGUUAAUCGGAAUUACUGGGCGUAAAGCGCAUGCAGGCGGCCUGUUAAGUCAGAUGUGAAAGCCCGGGGCUUAACCUCGGAAUUGCAUUUGAAACUGGCAGGCUAGAGUCUUGUAGAGGGGGGUAGGAAUUUCAGGUGUAGCGGUGAAAUGCGUAGAGAUCUGAAGGAAUACCAGUGGCGAAGGCGGCCCCCUGGACAAAGACUGACGCUCAGAUGCGAAAGCGUGGGGAGCAAACAGGAUUAGAUACCCUGGUAG